UAAAAUUUUAAAGGUCGAACAGACCUAAAAUUUCAGCUUCUGCACCGAAAUUUAAUUUUAAUCCAACAUCGAGGUCGCAAACUUUUUUAUCGAUAAGAACUCUCCAAAAAAAAUUACGCUGUUAUCCCUAAGGUAAUUUAGUCUUGUAAUCCAAAAAAAAGGAUCAAGUAAUCAUAAAUCAAUGUUAAAAACAAAAAAAAGUUAAUCAAAUUUUUCCAUCGCCCCAACAAAAUACUUAAAUAAAAAUAAAAGAAUCAAUUCAACAACUUUUAUAUUCAAUCAAAUAUAAAACUCUAUAGGGUCUUCUCGUCUUUAUAAAAAAUUUAAGCUUUUUCACUUAAAAUUGAAGUUCUAAAACAUUUACACAGAGACAGUUAUUUUCUCAUCAAACCUUUCAUUCCAGCUUUCAAUUAAAAAACUAAUGAUUAUGUUACCUUUGCACAGUCAAAAUACUGCGGCCAUUCAAAAAUCAUU
rnacentral:rRNA from 1 species